rnacentral:tRNA from 1 species
UCCUUGGUGGCUCAUAGGUUAAAGCGUCUGCCUACAAUGCAGGAGACCCAGGUUCGAUCCCUGGGUCGGGAA